CAAUUUUUUUCCCUUCUUUGCUUAAAUCACUCGAAUUCCAACCCUUUCUCCUUGCUGGCUGCUGCCCCCUUCCCCGUGUUGUGCCGAUUGAAGGUUCCCUAUUUUGCUCUCCAAACUUUUCACUUUCCUCUGCAAUUUCGAUCUAUAGCUUUGGAUUUUGGAGCUUAAAUUUUAAGAGCAAUGUCAAGUGCGAAUGAUGAUUCAGUGCCACUGCCACUGAUGGGUACGACUAGUACACAACCAACAUCAUAUUUCUCUUCACCAGGAGCAAGUGAGGGUGAGACUUUGAGUUCCAAAUCUAAAGCAAAGAAGAAGAAAGGAGUUCAAUUGAGGGCGGAAUCGUGGAAUCACUUCACCAGAGAUGCCAAAGAUUAGGAUUGUGGAUUCUAUUUCUGUUGUUGAUGAGUGAAAGAGUGUACAAAUGUAUUCUUCACACUUCAAUUGAGAUAGCCAAUGUGAGUGAAUGUGAAGAGCCAAGUCAUGGAGGAAAUUUAAGUUGAUAAUUUGUGAUAGUUAAUGGUUUUGUGUUAGUUUUAUUUUGAGGAUGUUAAUUUUAUUAUCUUCGACUUUUUGUUAUGUUGAAUAUUGAAUGCUAAUUUUAUGGUUUAUGUUAAAAGAUACAAUUUUAUGA